UAAGGAAUAUUGGACAAUGGAGGCAACUCUGAUCCAGCCAUGCCGCGUGAAGGAAUAAGGCCCUAUGGGUUGUAAACUUCUUUUAGACGGGACAAAACCCCUUUACGCGUAAAGGGUUGAUGGUACUGUCAGAAUAAGCAUCAGCUAACUUCGUGCCAGCAGCCGCGGUAAUACGAAGGAUGCAAGCGUUAUCCGGAAUUAUUGGGUUUAAGGGGUGCGUAGGCGGACUAAUAAGUCAGUGGUGAAAGCCUGCAGCUUAACUGCAGAAUUGCCAUUGAUACUGUUAGUCUUGAGUACAGUUGAGGUAGGCGGAAUGUGUCAUGUAGCGGUGAAAUGCUUAGAUAUGACACAGAACACCGAUUGCGAAGGCAGCUUGCUAAGCUGUAACUGACGCUGAGGCACGAAAGCGUGGGGAGCAAACA
rnacentral:rRNA from 1 species